rnacentral:rRNA from 1 species
UACGUAGGGUGCAAGCGUUAAUCGGAAUUACUGGGCGUAAAGCGUGCGCAGGCGGUUUUGUAAGUCUGACGUGAAAUCCCCGGGCUCAACCUGGGAAUUGCGAUGGAGACUGCAAGGCUAGAAUCUGGCAGAGGGGGGUAGAAUUCCACGUGUAGCAGUGAAAUGCGUAGAGAUGUGGAGGAACACCGAUGGCGAAGGCAGCCCCCUGGGUCAAGAUUGACGCUCAUGCACGAAAGCGUGGGGAGCAAACG